CGCUUGUAUAGUGUAAUUGUUAGAAUGAGUAGGAAGAGCAGAGCUUGGACAGCCGUGGGCUGUGUUGCUGCGGUGAAGGAGCUGAAAGAUAACAAGUAGACUGAAAUGCUUAACAAGAUAGGUUCAGUGUCUACUCAUGAAGGAGAGAGAGAUCCGUCACCAACAUCAAUGACAAGCACAGAAGUGGGAUCAACAAGGGGAGCUAAGAAGAAGUUUAAUCAACCUGCUGAAGAAACGCUUAGAAGUUAGAACAUUCAUAGACUUGAGUUGUUGGGGGCACAAUGUUUAAG
rnacentral:misc_RNA from 1 species